rnacentral:rRNA from 1 species
AGGACGAACGCUUGCGACGUGCCUAAGAAAUGCAAGUCGAACGGGGUAGCAAUACCUAGUGGCGAACGGUCGCGUAACACGUGGGCAACCUGCCCUGAAGCGGGGGACAACAGCUUGAAAGAGCUGCUAAUACCGCAUGUGUAUCGCUGUGGCAUCACAGAGGAUACAAAGCCGCAAGGCACUUCAGGAUGGGCCCGCGGCCUAUCAGCUUGUUGGUGAGGUAACGGCUCACCAAGGCUUCGACGGGUAGCUGGUCUGAGAGGACGAUCAGCCGGAUUGGGACUGAGAUACGGCCCAGACUCCUACGGGGGGCAGCAAUUAGGAAUCUUGCACAAUGGGCGAAAGCCUGAUGCAGCGACGUCGCGUGAAGGAUGAAAUCUUCGGGAUGUAAACUUCUUUACCGAGGAAGAAUCAAUGACGGUACCUGGUGAAUAACGCCCGGACUAACGUACGCGCCAGCAGCCGCGGU